UCCCUGAUGGUCUAGCGGCUAAGGGUCCCGCGUUCCCGCUGCCACGCCCCAGGUUCGAUUCCCGGACAGGGAA